UCCCCUUCUCUCAAUAUAUCUCUUCACACAUAUAUCUACAAUGUCUUCCAUAUUUUCAAGCUUUGAUUUAGAGAGGUUAAGGUGAGAUUUUGGUAUCUGUUUUGCUUCAUGUGUUUUUGUCACAGGCCUGCUACAGUAGUAAUUUUUUAACCCAAAACAUGUUUGGUUCGGUUUACUUUGUUGCCAAUAGUGUCAAAACAGAUUCAAUUUUUGGGCCAAAAAUUAAAACACCAAAGAUUUUGGUAUCUGUUUUGCUUCAUGUGUUUUUGUCACAGGCCUGCUACAGUAGUAAUUUUUUAACCCAAAACAUGUUUGGUUCGGUUUACUUUGUUGCCAAUAGUGUCAAAACAGAUUCAAUUUUUGGGCCAAAAAUUAAAACACCAUUUUGGUGUUUUACCGUGUUUUGGGUACUGUUGGCCCAAAUAAUCACUGUAGCGGAGGAAGUAAAAACACUCACUUAAACCAGACUUGCAACAUGUAUAUAAACCAAACUUAAAACAUUUCAGUCAUUUUCUAGGGUUUCUAGAGAGCUUGAGCAGUGGCGAUUUUGGGGCGAUUGUGCUGUGUGUGCUUGUUUGGCUGAAAUCCACCAAACCAACCAUCGAUCUUUGCUCUUUUGUUGUCUUCGUCGAAGAAUAAGGUAGGAAUCAGAGAAUCUGAAGCGAUUGUGGCUCGAAAAUGGGUCAUCGAUUAAGAUGAUUUUUGCCGGACAUUCUUUGGGGUCUGGUGUCGCCGCUUUGUUAACGAUGAUCGUGGUGAACCACGGUGACUUGCUCGGCGGUGGGGUCUGGUGUCGCCGCCUUCUUGACGAUGAUCAUAGUGAACCACGGUGACCUGCUCGGUGGUGUUUCGAGGACUCAUGUGCGGUGUUAUGCGAUUGCGCGUCGCUCAAUUUAGCUGUGAAGUAUACCGAUGGUAUAGACUCUGUAAUCUUGCAGAGAUUGUUUUCUUUCCCUCCUCAAAGUGAUGGUGAAAACGAUGAGAUUGUUGAGCAUGUGCCUCCAGCUCAACUUCGAGAAAUGGAUCAGUUGCGUAAUACUAUUGCUAACUGAAUCUGAAAUUCUCUUGGGUACACUUGAUAGAGUGAUGGUAUGUUUUUUCUUUUAUAUGUAAUAUAUUUGUUGCUAUUAUGGGCUUGUAAUAUUUAUAUAUGUAAUAUAAAUCAUUUUUUUUUGUUACUAUUACUUGCUACUAUUAUUGUUAAUAUAUUUCAACUUAAAUGCUAACAUCGUAGAUAUGAAGUGUGUAGAUGCUCUCUUGAAAGUGACUUGUGCUGUUAUGAA